GCGGGGGCUCAGUGGCAGAGCGCUUGCCUGGCACGUUUGAGGCCCUGGGUUCGAUCCUCAGCACCACA
rnacentral:tRNA from 1 species